rnacentral:misc_RNA from 1 species
AAACCUCUCAGCAAUACUUUUUAUUGUUGGUUAUGGGUUGUGGAGGACUGGCUGUAAUGGCUGCUCCCGCCUUAAACUUGCUGCACGACCGCAAGCUAAUGCUAGGUUAAUGAAGUGGUAUUUACAUAUAUUUCAGCGACUGUUCAUAGCUUGGUGGCGUUAAGACUGAUGUUGCCCUCGUGGUGACUGAU